rnacentral:snRNA from 1 species
AUCGCUUCUCAGCCUUUUGGCUAAGAUCAAGUGUAGAAUCUGUUCUUAUCAGUUUAAUAUCUUAUACGUAAAAAAAAAAAAAAAGAAAAAACCAUUUCCAACAUCCUUUCACAGAUGCUACUUGACUUUCAACAGGGUUAUUGUUA